GACGAACGCUGGCGGCGUGCUUAACACAUGCAAGUCGAACGGAAAGGCCCUGCUUUUGUGGGGUGCUCGAGUGGCGAACGGGUGAGUAACACGUGAGUAGCCUGCCCUUGACUUUGGGAUAACUUCAGGAAACUGGGGCUAAUACCGGAUAGGAGCUCCUGCUGCAUGGUGGGGGUUGGAAAGUUUCGGCGGUUGGGGAUGGACUCGCGGCUUAUCAGCUUGUUGGUGGGGUAGUGGCUUACCAAGGCUUUGACGGGUAGCCGGCCUGAGAGGGUGACCGGCCACAUUGGGACUGAGCUACGGCCCAGACUCCUACGGGAGGCAGCAGUGGGGAAUAUUGCACAAUGGGCGGAAGCCUGAUGCAGCAACGCCGCGUGCGGGAUGACGGCCUUCGGGUUGUAAACCGCUUUCGCCUGUGACGAAGCGUGAGUGACGGUAAUGGGUAAAGAAGCACCGGCUAACUACGUG
rnacentral:rRNA from 1 species